UACAGAGGUCUCAAGCGUUGUUCGGAUUCAUUGGGCGUAAAGGGUGCGUAGGCGGCGCGGUAAGUCGGGUGUGAAAUCUCGGGGCUUAACUCCGGGCCUGCAGUGGGUACGGGCUGACUAGAGUGCGGUAGGGGAGACUGGAAUUCCUGGUGUAGCGGUGAAAUGCGCAGAUAUCAGGAGGAACACCGGUGGCGAAGGCGGGUCUCUGGGCCGUAACUGACGCUGAGGAGCGAAAGCGUGGGGAGCGAACAGG
rnacentral:rRNA from 1 species